AGCUGGGCCACGGCAGAGACAGAAAGAGGACGGGCUGAAACAACCAUGACGCAGACAGCAGUGAGAGUCACAAGGGUUCACACGCAGGUUCUGACAGCAUCGCUCUUCAAUAGGUUAAAGCUGGUUCUGCAAAAACAACAGGAGAGAAGAGUCGAUCACUCAAAGACAGUCUGUGGGGUCUAUUGUAGCUCAUUGUGUCUCCCCUUCCUCCCACUCUCCGGAAAAGAUAAGUAUCUAUAAACCAUUUGGCUAUGAGAGGAUGAGUGGUGAAGAUUUAGGUUUGAAUUUAUCACUGAUAUGAGAUGGUAGAAACAGAGCUCUAUAUUCAAUCCUGGUGCUGUUGCUGCCUUUUAAUGAAAUAAUUCAACUCAGACUUGUGCCGAGUUCUAUAUACACUCCCUGUAUGACUGCGGUCAGUCCUGAGAAGCAUGAUCAUCAUCAGACGUUUCAUAUCAGAAAUCAGAAGUGUGUUGCUGCGUUUACCUGGAAGCAUCCAACUUCUGCUGCUCCAGAAUUCUCUGCUGGGCCUCCCAGCUGCCCUUCUCCUCCUCGAGAUGGCGGCGUUUUUCUU